GAGUUUGAUCCUGGCUCAGAUUGAACGCUGGCGGCAGGCUUAACACAUGCAAGUCGAGCGGGGAAAUGUAGCUUGCUACAUUACCUAGCGGCGGACGGGUGAGUAAUGCUUAGGAAUCUGCCUAUUAGUGGGGGACAACAUCUCGAAAGGGAUGCUAAUACCGCAUACGUCCUACGGGAGAAAGCAGGGGAUCUUCGGACCUUGCGCUAAUAGAUGAGCCUAAGUCGGAUUAGCUAGUUGGUGGGGUAAAGGCCUACCAAGGCGACGAUCUGUAGCGGGUCUGAGAGGAUGAUCCGCCACACUGGGACUGAGACACGGCCCAGACUCCUACGGGAGGCAGCAGA
rnacentral:rRNA from 1 species